AUUAGAUACCCGGGUAGUCCACGCCGUAAACUAUGGAUGCUAGCUGUUAUUCGUAUCGACCCGAGAUAGUAGCGAAGCUAACGCGUUAAGCAUCCCGCCUGUGGAGUACGGUCGCAAGACUAAAACAUAAAGGAAUUGACGGGGACCCGCACAAGCGGUGGAGCGUGUUGUUUAAUUCGAUGGUAAGCGAAGAACCUUACCCAGACUUGACAUCCUUGGAAGCACUGCGAAAGCAGAGUGUGCCUCCGGGAACCAAGUGACAGGUGUUGCAUGGCCGUCGUCAGCUCGUGUCGUGAGAUGUUUGGUUAAGUCCAUCAACGAGCGCAACCCUUGUGGCUAGUUGAAUUUUUCUAGUCAGACUGCCCUGGUAACAGGGAGGAAGGAGGGGAUGAUGUCAGGUCAGUAUUACCCUUACGUCUGGGGCUACAAACACGCUACAAUGGCCGGUACAAAGGGCUGCCAAGUCGCGAGACGGAGCAAAUCCCAUCAAAACCGGUCCCAGUUCGGAUUGCAGGCUGAAACUCGCCUGCAUGAAGUCGGAAUCGCUAGUAACGGUAGGUCAGCACACUACCGUGAAUACGUUCCCGGGUCUUGUACACACCGCCCGUCAAACCAUGAAAGUCGCCAAUACCUGACGUCUUAGCUAGUCUAGGCCUAAGGUAGGGGAGAUGAUUGGGGUUAAGUCGUAACAAGGUAAC
rnacentral:rRNA from 1 species